GUUCUUACUCAUGCUGGAUUCCCGGGCCACUUGGGUUCCGCUAGAGGGCGAAAUCUAUCCCCGGCUGCUAAGGCGAAACAUUUAUUUAAGGUAGAAUGAGGUUAAAGGAAUGCAUCUUGAACAAGGACCGAAUGGUCCACAGUAAUCUGGAGCAAAGGUUGGGACAUGCAUGGAACCUACUGAAGCACCUGGAUUCUACAGAGGAGCCUGGCAAUGGCUCAUGGUUUACCAGCAAGGUUCCGGCUGGCUGCUCGAGUCUUUCUCCUCCAGCAAGGCAUCUCCUGACUCCGCCUACUGUCUCUCUACAUCUCUGUUUGGAUUUCCUGCCUGGCGUUAUUCUGCUAAACCAUUGACCGAAAGCAGCUUUAUUCAUUAACCAAUAAAAGCAAC